AUGAACGCUAGCUACAGGCUUAACACAUGCAAGUCGAGGGGCAGCAUUUUAGUUUGCUUGCAAACUAAAGAUGGCGACCGGCGCACGGGUGAGUAACACGUAUCCAACCUGCCGAUAACUCGGGGAUAGCCUUUCGAAAGAAAGAUUAAUAUCCGAUAGUAUAUUAAAACCGCAUGGUUUUACUAUUAAAGAAUUUCGGUUAUCGAUGGGGAUGCGUUCCAUUAGUUUGUUGGCGGGGUAACGGCCCACCAAGACUACGAUGGAUAGGGGUUCUGUGAGGAAGGUCCCCCACAUUGGAACUGAGACACGGUCCAAACUCCUACGGGAGGCAGCAGUGAGGAAUAUUGGUCAAUGGACGAGAGUCUGAACCAGCCAAGUAGCGUGAAGGAUGACUGCCCUAUGGGUUGUAAACUUCUUUUAUAUGGGAAUAAAGUAUUCCACGUGUGGAAUUUUGUAUGUACCAUAUGAAUAAGGAUCGGCUAACUCCGUGCCAGCAGCCGCGGUAAUACGGAGGAUCCGAGCGUUAUCCGGAUUUAUUGGGUUUAAAGGGAGCGUAGGUGGAUUGUUAAGUCAGUUGUGAAAGUUUGCGGCUCAACCGUAAAAUUGCAGUUGAAACUGGCAGUCUUGAGUACAGUAGAGGUGGGCGGAAUUCGUGGUGUAGCGGUGAAAUGCUUAGAUAUCACGAAGAACUCCGAUUGCGAAGGCAGCUCACUAGACUGCAACUGACACUGAUGCUCGAAAGUGUGGGUAUCAAACAGGAUUAGAUACCCUGGUAGUCCACACAGUAAACGAUGAAUACUCGCUGUUUGCGAUAUACAGUAAGCGGCCAAGCGAAAGCAUUAAGUAUUCCACCUGGGGAGUACGCCGGCAACGGUGAAACUCAAAGGAAUUGACGGGGGCCCGCACAAGCGGAGGAACAUGUGGUUUAAUUCGAUGAUACGCGAGGAACCUUACCCGGGCUUAAAUUGCAUUUGAAUAAUCUGGAAACAGGUUAGCCGCAAGGCAAAUGUGAAGGUGCUGCAUGGUUGUCGUCAGCUCGUGCCGUGAGGUGUCGGCUUAAGUGCCAUAACGAGCGCAACCCUUAUCUUUAGUUACUAACAGGUCAUGCUGAGGACUCUAGAGAGACUGCCGUCGUAAGAUGUGAGGAAGGUGGGGAUGACGUCAAAUCAGCACGGCCCUUACGUCCGGGGCUACACACGUGUUACAAUGGGGGGUACAGAAGGCAGCUACCUGGUGACAGGAUGCUAAUCCCAAAAACCUCUCUCAGUUCGGAUCGAAGUCUGCAACCCGACUUCGUGAAGCUGGAUUCGCUAGUAAUCGCGCAUCAGCCAUGGCGCGGUGAAUACGUUCCCGGGCCUUGUACACACCGCCCGUCAAGCCAUGAAAGCCGGGGGUACCUGAAGUACGUAACCGCAAGGAGCGUCCUAGGGUAAAACUGGUAAUUGGGGCU
rnacentral:rRNA from 1 species